UCUCACAGUCCACACAAAGACACAUGUCUGUACAUGGGAGCUCAUUCAAUUUGCAUGUGCAUCUCCCUUUGACACAUUGUGUUUUUUUACAGGAGCAGUACACAAGCUCCAAGAUGCCGACAGGGGCUGGGGGAAGUGUCAUCCAGUCAAUCACAAAGAAGUCUCCCUCAAUCUUCCAACCAUGGGCCAUUGGUGGGGGAACAUCAGGCUGACUCUUCAGGGACCUUCUGUAUAUGGCUGCCUGCAGAUCUGCAGAGAUGGCUUCUGAUGCUACCUGACCUGAUGUAACAUGCCAUGUACUUGACCUCCAUUGUGAUGGCUGCUCUCUCGUGCUGUGUCAAUGCCUGCUGCCUCUGUGCCACAAA